UCAAUUAUAAAAGAAAUAAUGUAUCCCAAUUUGUCUGUAUCUAACUCUAUUGUAGAUUGUACAAAUGUAAAUCUCAAACACACCCUAACAAGAACAAUUUAUCAACUAAUUUCAGCUUCCUCCAUCUUAGCAGCAAGUGACAAACAAGAUACACCCCAUGACUGCAUCUUCAUGUUUUUUCCUUCUGCGAAAACAAGAACAAAUGUUAUCAGUAAUGUGACUAAAUGAAAGAAAAAACAUAGUAUUAGUAAAAACAACGAACAAAGAAAUUCCAUGUAAAUGCAUACACAAAAAGGAGUUGAUAAAAGUAUUGAACUUCCAAUAUGCAGCCAGACAGGCCGAGAGUUGAAAUAUGAAUAAACCUGUUAAUGAAAAUCCCCAAACAUUAAUCUAUAAAGAAGAGUAGCUGAGUAAUGAGAUAUCAAACUCCUGGGUGGUCAAACAAAUGUUAAAUGUUACUAGAUGUUAAUAAGAAGACACCAUAUAUCCUGAAGAUGACAUAAUCAAAAUACCAGAAAACUCUUCUAACUACUCGACAAAAAGAAAAAAAAAGGCAAAAGCCACUAGAUCAGAAUCAAGAACGCAAGAUUAGGGAAAAGUCAAUCAAAUAUUCAGAUCAACAACACCAUUCUUCAUGUGAGGUCAAACACAUAAGAAAAUAAAGCAAGUAAUUUAACAAGCACUCCUAGACUUGCAUCAAAUAAUAUGCAAGAAGAUAAAAUGAACAUGCUAAAAAUUCAAGCCAACAUUCUGUAAAUCAAUCAGAUAGCUGACGUAAGGAACAAUAAAGUAGUCAUAUGGAGAAUGAAAUAAUCAAAUGAAUAUGCUAUUCAAUAAUCUUACUUCUACUUCUGAAUAAUUGGAAUUUUAUAAAGGAAACCAUUAGCCAGAGGUUUUAAUAAAAUUGGACCCACAUUGAUUAAGGUUUUGACAAUAUCUAAGUUGCUCGGACUCGGGUGCGGGUAUCCGAGACGGAUGCGAAUCCGAGAGUCGGAUUCGGCAAAAUCUAAACUUUAAGAUUCGUGGUGCGAAUCCGAGUAUGGAUACGGGUGCGGGGAUACGGCUAAAAUUUUCAAUAUUAUAAAAAUAUAGUUAUGAAGAUAUUCUAAAUUUGAAAGAUAUGUUGUGAUAAACUUACAUGUAUUUUGUAGAAUUCAAUCUUCCAU
rnacentral:lncRNA from 1 species